rnacentral:rRNA from 1 species
GCUACACAUGCAAGUCGAGCGGUAAGGCCCUUCGGGGUACACGAGCGGCGAACGGGUGAGUAACACGUGAGCAACCUGCCCCUGACUCCGGGAUAAGCGGUGGAAACGCCGUCUAAUACCGGAUAUGACACACCAUCUCCUGGUGGUGUGUGGAAAGUUUUGUCGGUCAGGGAUGGGCUCGCGGCCUAUCAGCUAGUUGGUGGGGUAAAGGCCUACCAAGGCGAUUACGGGUAGCCGGCCUGAGAGGGCGACCGGCCACACUGGGACUGAGACACGGCCCAGACUCCUGCGGGAGGCAGCAGUGGGGAAUAUUGCAGAAUGGGCGAAAGCCUGAUGCAGCGACGCCGCGUGGGGGAUGACGGCCUUCGGGUUGUAAACCUCUUUUACCACCAACGCAGGCACCGGGUUCUCUCGGGGUUGACGGUAGGUUAAGGGAAUAAGGACCGGCUAACUACGUGCCAGCAGCCGCGGUAAUACGUAGGGUCCGAGCGUUGUCCGGAAUUAUUGGGCGUAAAGAGCUCGUAGGCGGCGUGUCGCGUCUGCUGUGAAAGACCGGGGCUUAACCCCGGUUCUGCAGUGGAUACGGGCAUGCUAGAGGUAGGUAGGGGAGACUGGAAUUCCUG